rnacentral:lncRNA from 1 species
GAUUGUUAGCAAUUUGGGUCACUUGUAUAUAUAUAAGUAAUCAUUAAAUGUGUUAGGGCCAUUAUAUUAUAUUAGCCAAUUUUAUAAAGUGAUCUAAUUGAGAUAAAUAUGGCUAAGGGUAUAUUUGUCAUGAAAGGUAUAUUGUGUAGAGACCAGCAAUAAUUAUAAUUUGUUGAAGGGGCCAAAUUGUAAUUAUUGAAACUAAAGAAUAUUAACCGCCAGAGGUUAUUUAAGGGGUCAUGGUCCCCAUCUGUGAGCACAAC